CUCUGUUCUCUGCCUCAACAGGAAGGAUCCCAUCCCAUCCUCCAGGAUCUGAUGGCCCUGGAGACAGGGCUUCAGGGCCCACGGACACUGCUGACUCUUCAGAACGUGCUGACAUGGAGCCAGGUAGACUGAAAUUACCAUGUGUCCAAAUUAAAAUUGCAUACUUCAAGGAUUAUUUGAAGGACUAUUCUUAGACCCUUUUAAGAAGAUUUAAAGAAAAACCACUCGGCCCUGAGCGCAGCGAGGACCCUGUUCGUGGAUGUGG
ensembl:lncRNA